CCUACGGGAGGCAGCAGUAGGGAAUAUUGGACAAUGGACGCAAGUCUGAUCCAGCCAUCCCGCGUGAAGGAUUAAGGCCCUAUGGGUUGUAAACUUCUUUUCUUUGGGAAUAAAAAGCGGUAUUCAUAUCGCCUUGAAGGUACCAGAGGAAUAAGCACCGGCUAACUCCGUGCCAGCAGCCGCGGUAAUACGGAGGGUGCAAGCGUUAUCCGGAUUCACUGGGUUUAAAGGGUGCGUAGGUGGCUUUGUAAGUCAGCGGUGAAAGCCUGGAGCUCAACUCCAGAAUUGCCAUUGAUACUGCAGAGCUUGAAUCAAGUUGAGGUGGAUGGAAUAUUACAUGUAGCGGUGAAAUGCUUAGAUAUGUAAUAGAACACCGAUUGCGAAGGCAGUUCACUAAGCUUGUAUUGACACUGAGGCACGAAAGCGUGGGGAUCAAACAGGAUUAGAUACCCUGGUAGUCCACGCCCUAAACGAUGCAAACUCGACAUUAGCGAUAUACAGUUAGUGUCCAAGCGAAAGCGUUAAGUUUGCCACCUGGAAGUACGACCGCAAGGUUGAAACUCAAAGGAAUUGACGGCUGAGACGAGCGAGACGACGACGAGGGAGGAGG
rnacentral:rRNA from 1 species